CUACGUGCCAGCAGCCGCGGUAAUACGGAGGGUGCAAGCGUUAAUCGGAAUUACUGGGCGUAAAGCGCACGCAGGCGGUCUGUCAAGUCGGAUGUGAAAUCCCCGGGCUCAACCUGGGAACUGCAUUCGAAACUGGCAGGCUAGAGUCUUGUAGAGGGGGGUAGAAUUCCAGGUGUAGCGGUGAAAUGCGUAGAGAUCUGGAGGAAUACCGGUGGCGAAGGCGGCCCCCUGGACAAAGACUGACGCUCAGGUGCGAAAGCGUGGGAAGCAAACAGGAUUAGAUACCCUGGUAGUCCACGCCGUAAACGAUGUCGACUUGGAGGUUGUUCCCUUGAGGAGUGGCUUCCGGAGCUAACGCGUUAAGUCGACCGCCUGGGGAGUACGGCCGCAAGGUUAAAACUCAAAUGAAUUGACGGGGGCCCGCACAAGCGGUGGAGCAUGUGGUUUAAUUCGAUGCAACGCGAAGAACCUUACCUACUCUUGACAUCCAGA
rnacentral:rRNA from 1 species